rnacentral:rRNA from 1 species
GACGAACGCUGGCGGCGUGCUUAACACAUGCAAGUCGAACGGAAAGGCCCUGCUUUUGUGGGGUGCUCGAGUGGCGAACGGGUGAGUAACACGUGAGUAACCUGCCCUUGACUUUGGGAUAACUUCAGGAAACUGGGGCUAAUACCGGAUAGGAGCUCCUGCUGCAUGGUGGGGGUUGGAAAGUUUCGGCGGUUAGGGAUGGACUCGCGGCUUAUCAGCUUGUUGGUGGGGUAGUGGCUUACCAAGGCUUUGACGGGUAGCCGGCCUGAGAGGGUGACCGGCCACAUUGGGUCUGAGAUACGGCCCAGACUCCUACGGGAGGCAGCAGUGGGGAAUAUUGCACAAUGGGCGGAAGCCUGAUGCAGCAACGCCGCGUGCGGGAUGACGGCCUUCGGGUUGUAAACCGCUUUCGCCUGUGACGAAGCGUGAGUGACGGUAAUGGGUAAAGAAGCACCGGCUAACUACGUG